rnacentral:rRNA from 1 species
GUAGUCAUAUGCUUGUCUCAAAGAUUAAGCCAUGCAUGUCUAAGUAUAAGCAAUUACAAAGCGAAACUGCGAAUGGCUCAUUAUAUAAGUUAUCGUUUAUUUGAUAGUACCUUACUACAUGGAUAACCGUGGUAAUUCUAGAGCUAAUACAUGCUGAAAAUCCCGACUUCGGAAGGGAUGUAUUUAUUAGAUACAAAACCAAUGCCCUUCGGGGCUCUCUUGGUGAUUCAUGAUAACUUCUCGAAUCGCACGGCCCCGCGCCGGCGAUGGUUCAUUCAAAUUUCUUCCCUAUCAACUUUCGAUGCUACGGUAUUGUCCUAGCAUGGUUGCAACGGGUGACGGAGGGUUAGGGCUCGACCCCGGAGAAGGAGCCUGAGAAACGGCUACUACAUCCAAGGAAGGCAGCAGGCGCGCAAAUUACCCAAUCCCGACUCGGGGAGGUAGUGACGAUAAAUACCGAUACAGGGCUCUUUUGGGUCCUGUAAUUGGAAUGAGUACAAUUC